GACGAACGCUGGCGGCGUGCUUAACACAUGCAAGUCGAACGAUGAAGCUGGAGCUUGCUCCGGUGGAUUAGUGGCGAACGGGUGAGUAACACGUGAGUAAUCUGCCCUUGACUCUGGGAUAACUGCGGGAAACUGUAGCUAAUACCGGAUACGACACCUUCGGGCAUCCGAUGGGUGUGGAAAGAAUUUCGGUCAAGGAUGAACUCGCGGCCUAUCAGCUAGUUGGUGAGGUAAUGGCUCACCAAGGCGACGACGGGUAGCCGGCCUGAGAGGAUGACCGGCCACACUGGGACUGAGACACGGCCCAGACUCCUACGGGAGGCAGCAGUGGGGAAUAUUGCACAAUGGGCGAAAGCCUGAUGCAGCAACGCCGCGUGAGGGAUGAAGGCCUUCGGGUUGUAAACCUCUUUUAGUUGGGAAGAAGCGAAAGUGACGGUACCUACAGAAAAAGCACCGGCUAACUACGUGCCAGCCGCCGCGGUAA
rnacentral:rRNA from 1 species